UACGAAGGGGGCUAGCGUUGUUCGGAAUUACUGGGCGUAAAGCGCGUGUAGGCGGGUCCUUAAGUCGGGGGUGAAAUCCCGGGGCUCAACUUCGGAACUGCCUUCGAUACUGGGGACCUGGAGUCUAGGAGAGGUGAGCGGAAUUGCGAGUGUAGAGGUGAAAUUCGUAGAUAUUCGGAGGAACACCAGAGGCGAAGGCGGCUCACUGGACCAGUACUGACGCUGAGACGCGAAAGCGUGGGGAGCAAACAGG
rnacentral:rRNA from 1 species